rnacentral:rRNA from 1 species
GUGGGGAAUAUUGGGCAAUGGGCGCAAGCCUGACCCAGCAACGCCGCGUGAAGGAAGAAGGCUUUCGGGUUGUAAACUUCUUUUACCAGGGACGAAACAAAUGACGGUACCUGGUGAAUAAGCCACGGCUAACUACGUGCCAGCAGCCGCGGUAAUACGUAGGUGGCGAGCGUUAUCCGGAUUUAUUGGGUGUAAAGGGCGUGUAGGCGGGACAGCAAGUCAGAUGUGAAAACCCGAGGCUCAACCUCUGGCCUGCAUUUGAAACUGUUGUGCUUGAGUGUCGGAGAGGUAAUCAGAAUUCCGUGUGUAGCGGUGAAAUGCGUAGAUAUACGGAGGAACACCAGUGGCGAAGGCGGAUUACUGGACGAUAACUGACGCUGAGGCGCGAAAGCGUGGGGAGCAAACAGGAUUAGAAACCCCGGUAGUCC